rnacentral:rRNA from 1 species
UUCGCAAUGCCCGAAAGGGUGACGAAGCGACGCCGCGUGGGUGAGGAAGGCCUUCGGGUUGUAAAGCCCUGUCAGGAGUUAAGAAAUGUAGACUCGCUAAUAUCGGGUCUAUUUGACAAAGGCUCCAAAGGAAGCCACGGCUAACUCUGUGCCAGCAGCCGCGGUAAUACAGAGGUGGCAAGCGUUGUUCGGAAUUACUGGGCGUAAAGAGCACGUAGGUGGAUUUGUAAGUCAGAUGUGAAAGCCUUCUGUUCAACGGGAGAAUGCCAGCUGAUACUACAGGGCUUGAGUACGGGAGGGGAGAGUGGAACUUCUGGUGGAGCGGUGAAAUGCGUAGAUAUCAGAAGGAACGCCGGCGGCGAAAGCGACUCUCUGGCCCGAAACUGACGCUGAGUGUGCGAAAGCUAGGGGAGCAAACGGGAUUAGAUACCCCGGUAGUCCUAGCCGUAAACGAUGGGCACUAAGUAGAGGGGUUUU